UACGUAGGGUCCGAGCGUUGUCCGGAAUUAUUGGGCGUAAAGAGCUCGUAGGCGGUUUGUCGCGUCUGCUGUGAAAACUCGGGGCUUAACCCCGGGCCUGCAGUGGGUACGGGCAGACUAGAGUGCGGUAGGGGAGACUGGAAUUCCUGGUGUAGCGGUGAAAUGCGCAGAUAUCAGGAGGAACACCGGUGGCGAAGGCGGGUCUCUGGGCCGUAACUGACGCUGAGGAGCGAAAGCGUGGGGAGCGAACAGG
rnacentral:rRNA from 1 species